GUCUACGGCCAUGCUACCCUAAACAAGCUCGAUUCCGUCUCAUCUCGGAAGCUAAGCAGGGUCAGGCCUGGUUAGUACUCAGAUGGGAGACCACCUAGGAAGACCAGGUGCUGUAGGCA
rnacentral:rRNA from 1 species